GGGUGCUAAUACCGAAUUAUAAGGCGCGGCCAUACCGCGUCUUCAAAGAUGGCCUCUGACACAAGCUGUCGCUCGGAGAUGGGCCCGCGCCGUAUUAGCUAGUUGGUGGGGUAAUGGCCUACCAAGGCGACGAUGCGUAGCCGGCCUGAGAGGGUGAUCGGCCACACUGGAACUGAGACAAGGUCCAGUCCCCUACGGGGGCCAGCAGUCUAGAAACUUGCACAAUCGACGAAAGUUGGAUGCAGCGACGCCACGUGGAGGAUGAAGCCCCUCGGGGUGUAAACUCCUGUCGGAAGGGAAGAAGGCGCGGGUGCUAAUACCAUCCGUUGCUUGACGGUACCUUCGGAGGAAGCUCCGGCUAACUACGUGCCAGCAGCCGCGGUAAUACGUAGGGAGCGAGCGUUGUUCGGAUUUACUGGGCGUAAAGGGCAGGUAGGCGGGUGUGUAAGUCGGUUGUGAAAUCCUCUGGCUCAACCAGAGAAUUGCAGCCGAUACUGCACAUCUUGAGUCCAGCAGAGGGAAUUGGAAUCCUAGGUGUAGCGGUGAAAUGCGUAGAUAUCUAGGAGAACACCAGCGGCGAAGGCGGAUUCCUGGGCUGGUACUGACGCUGAGCUGCGAAAGCGUGGGGAGCGAACAGGAUUAGAUACCCUGGUAGUCCACGCCGUAAACGAUGGGUACUAGGUGUUGGAGGAUAUUGACCCCUUCAGUGCCGAAGCUAACGCAUUAAGUACCCCGCCUGGGGAGUACGGCCGCAAGGCUGAAGCUCAAAGGAAUUGACGGGGACCCGCACAAGCAGUGGAGCAUGCUGCUCAAUUCGGCCACGCGAAGAACCUUACCUGGGCUUGACAUCCGGGGAAACCUCUGGAAACAGGGGAGUGCCUUCGGGAACCCCGAGACAGGUGCUGCAUGGCUGUCGUCAGCUCGUGUCGUGAGAUGUUGGGUUAAGUCCCGCAACGAGCGCAACCCUUGUCCUUAGUUGCCAACGGGUAAUGCCGGGAACUCUAGGGAGACCGCCUGUGACAAGCGGGAGGAAGGUGGGGAUGACGUCAAGUCAUCAUGGCUCUUACGCCCAGGGCUGCAAGCGUGCUACAAUGGCCGGUACAAAGGGUUGCGAUACCGCGAGGUGGAGCCAAUCCCAAAAAACCGACCUCAGUUCGGAUUGAAGUCUGCAACUCGACUUCAUGAAGCCGGAAUUGCUAGUAAUCGCGGAUCAGCACGCCGCGGUGAAUACGUUCCCGGGUCUUGUACGCACCGCCCGUCAAGCUAGGAAAGCUGGAUAUGCCUGAAGUCGUGGUCCCAACCCGCAAGGGGGGGAAGCGCCUAAGGCAGAGCUGGCGAUUCGAGCUAAGUCGUAACAAGGUA
rnacentral:rRNA from 1 species